rnacentral:rRNA from 1 species
GAUGAACGCUGGCGGCGUGCCUAAUACACGCAAGUAGAACGCUGAAGGAAGGAGCUUGCUCUUUCCGGAUGAGUUGCGAACGGGUGAGUAACGCGUAGGUAACCUGCCUGGUAGCGGGGGAUAACUAUUGGAAACGAUAGCUAAUACCGCAUAACAGUAGAUGUUGCAUGAUAUCUACUUAAAAGGUGCAAUUGUACCACUACCAGAUGGACCUGCGUUGUAUUAGCUAGUUGGUGAGGUAACGGCUCACCAAGGCGACGAUACAUAGCCGACCUGAGAGGGUGAUCGGCCACACUGGGACUGAGACACGGCCCAGACUCCUACGGGAGGCAGCAGUAGGGAAUCUUCGGCAAUGGACGGAAGUCUGACCGAGCAACGCCGCGGGAGGGAAGAAGGUUUUCGGAUCGUAAAGCUCUGUUGUAAGAGAAGAACGAGUGUGAGAGUGGAAAGUUCACACUGUGACGGUAUCUUACCAGAAAGGGACGGCUAACUACGUG